rnacentral:rRNA from 1 species
UACGUAGGGUGCAAGCGUUAAUCGGAUUUACUGGGCGUAAAGCGUGCGUAGGCGGUUUUGUAAGUCUGCUUUGAAAUCCCCGGGCUUAACCUGGGAAUGGCGAUGGAGACUGCGAGGCUAGAGUUUGGCAGAGGGGGGUAGAAUUCCACGUGUAGCAGUGAAAUGCGUAGAGAUGUGGAGGAACACCGAUGGCGAAGGCAGCUCCCUGGGUCAAAACUGACGCUCAUGCACGAAAGCGUGGGGAGCAAACAGG